UAACUGGAAGGUGGCACAUUGCAUGCCUC
rnacentral:piRNA from 1 species